AUGAGUCCCUAAUCUACUCAAAUCAAACCCAAACCAAUUUCAGUCCAAACAAAACUUGUCCAAAAAAUUAAAAAAGGAAGAAGAGUGAGAUCUAAUGAAAUUCUAGAUCUACUUGUUACAUCUCUUCGCCAUUGUCACCGUCAAGCUUGCCGUAGUGUUUGAGAUCAGAGGGAGACGCAUGAAUCUCACCGCAGUCAAAAACGCCGACGAAGUCAUGGAGAGGUACGUCGAGGACUCGCCUGCAAUCCUCCCUCCUCUUAGGGAUUGCUACCUCACGUGCUGUGGCAGCGCGCCGUUACAUGAGAAGCUUAGCCUCGUGUACGUUGGAACAGUUGUUUUUGCCAUAGCUUGUCCAGGUUGCAUCUGUGGAUGAUCGGAGUCUAAUUAUGAUUUUUGUUACUGAUGGCAAGAAAGUUUCACGCCAAGACAUUGAGCUU